rnacentral:rRNA from 1 species
CUUGAUCAAUUAUAAGAGGUCAAGCCUGCCCAGUGACAUUGUUCAACGGCCGCGGUAUCCUAACCGUGCGAAGGUAGCGUAAUCACUUGUCCUUUAAAUAAGGACUAGUAUGAACGGCUUCACGAAGGCUAUACUGUCUCCUUAAUCUAAUCAAUUAAACUAAUCUCCCCGUGAAGAAGCGGGGAUUCAUCUAUAAGACGAGAAGACCCUAUGGAGCUUUAAACAUCUAAGACACUUGAUUAUAUCUACUAAACUUAAUGCAACCUAUCAUUUUGUCUUAAGUUUUAGGUUGGGGUGACCACGGAGAAAAAUUAAACCUCCACGUAGAAAGAAAAUUCUUUUCUAAGCAAAAAGCCACAUCUUAACGCAUCAAUAUAUUGACUUAAAUUGACCCAAUUUCUUGCUCAACGAAC